AUUUUAUAUGAGAGUUUGAUCCUGGCUCAGGAUGAACGCCGGCGGUGUGCCUAAUACAUGCAAGUCGUACGCACUGGCCCAACUGAUUGAUGGU
rnacentral:rRNA from 1 species